rnacentral:sRNA from 1 species
GCAUUCACGCCCCUCACCGUCCCGGGCCCUGGGGGCUGCGGGCUCGAGGCCGGCCCUCGCGGGGGCGUGGCCUUGCCUGUCACUUUUUCCAGGGGCGAGGGUCGCGGAGGGGACAGCGUCAGGGCCGCUGGGGUGGGGACGGCGGGCGAGGCGCAAACUUUACUAGGAGUUUUUGGCACUUGGAGGCAGAUCCUGUUGGGCGGCACAGCACGCCCGCUGGGAAACGCAGGGGAGCGGCCUGCUUCGCUGAAAACCCGACCAGGACCUAACGGGCCGCGGGACAGAAACCUCCGAGACCAUGGUACACAGCAACUACCACAACUCGCUCCUCAGCCCCUGACUCUUCGUCCCCGCCCCCACAGCGCAGUAUAAGUAGGGCCCGAAACAGAACUGGCAACGGCAGUAGCCAAUCUACUUGCCAACAUCACUUUGACAGCCCAAUCACGAUGAAGAGGAGGCGGGGAGACCCUCAUAUGUUAGAUUUGAUAUCAUUCGAAGGAUCCUAACCAAGGUUUUUGGAUGCAACAUAGUCAUGGUGAUGGGUAUUACAGAUGUAGAUGAUAAAAUCAUCAAAAGAGCCAAUGAGAUGAAUAUUUCCCCCGCUUCCCUCGCCAGUCUUUAUGAGGAAGACUUCAAGCAGGACAUGGCAGCCCUGAAGGUUCUCCCACCCACGGUGUACCUGAGGGUAACCGAAAAUAUUCCUCAGAUAAUUUCUUUCAUUGAAGGAAUCAUUGCUCGUGGGAACGCUUAUUCAACGGCAAAAGGCAAUGUCUACUUCGAUCUGAAGUCUAGAGGAGACAAGUAUGGCAAAUUGGUCGGCGUGGUCCCUGGUCCAGUCGGAGAGCCAGUGGACUCUGACAAGCGUCAUGCCAAUGACUUCGCCCUGUGGAAGGCGGCCAAACCCCAGGAGGUGUUCUGGGCCUCUCCCUGGGGACCCGGGAGGCCGGGCUGGCACAUCGAGUGCUCUGCCAUCGCUAGUAUGGUAUUUGGAAAUCAACUGGAUAUCCAUUCAGGUGGGAUAGAUUUAGCUUUUCCACAUCAUGAAAACGAAAUUGCACAGUGCGAAGUCUUUCAUCAGUGCGAGCAGUGGGGAAAUUAUUUUCUGCAUUCUGGGCAUUUGCACGCCAAAGGCAAAGAAGAAAAAAUGUCCAAAUCAUUAAAGAACUACAUUACUAUUAAGGACUUUCUGAAGACCUUUUCCCCCGAUGUCUUCCGGUUCUUCUGCCUGCGGAGCAGCUACCGCUCAGCCAUCGACUACAGUGACAGCGCCAUGCUCCAAGCUCAGCAGCUGCUCCUGGGGCUGGGCUCUUUCCUGGAGGAUGCACGUGCCUACAUGAAGGGGCAGCUGGCCUGCGGCUCCGUCAGGGAAGCGAUGCUGUGGGAGAGGCCUGGGCCCACAGCAUCGCCUCCACUCCCCACCCACGGGUGUCCUGGGCAGCGCUGCACAUUCAUCCCGGCGUGCAGAGUCUUCCGGAUAGUCUUGGUGAUAACCCACCCCUGCCGCUUCAGCAGGGCUCUCCAGCACCAAGAGGGCCGUGAAGGCGGCCUUGGCAGAUGACUUUGACACACCCAGGGUGGUUGAUGCCAUCCUGGGCCUUACACACCACGGGAAUGGACAGCUCAGGGCGUCCCUGAAGGAACCUGGAGGGCCGAGAAGUCCUGCUGUGUUUGGUGCCAUCAUCUCUUACUUUGAACAGUUUUUUGAAACUGUUGGAAUUUCUCUGGCAAAUCAACAGUUGGCAAACUCUCGUGCGCAGAACCAGAGAUGAGUCCAUCUCAGCAACAGAGUGUCGCCAGCUCUGCACACACGUUUAUGUUCAAAGACUCUCAGAAUGUGCAGAAGUCACAGGCACAGACGGGCUCCCCGACAGGCACGAGU